CUCAUUGGUUGAACUGAACAAUGAGAAUGUAAGUGAAGCAUUCAACUCUGUUAUUGUCUCGUUGACUAGCAGAUCAGCUCUGAAGACAAUCUGGAAAGAAUGCAUCUGCUGGCAUUGGAAGAAAGCACUAGCUAGAUGAAGGCUCAGCUGACAUGAAGUUGAAGACAUGCAGACAUGCUUAUGCAUUCUGUGAUUUGGCCACAAUGUGUCUUUCAACGUUGCCCAUCGAGUGUUCUUAUCUUCACAGUUGUGUCGACUACUGGUUGGACUACAGUCUACACAAUCAGGUUAUUGAGAUGCUCAUGAGUUGUAUGGAGGCAGCCGAUCGGCUGCUGUAUCUUGAACAACAGUGUAGCAUUUCGUCAAACAUUGAGUUGAUAGCGAGGUGUGUGAAUCUUUGUUGUGGAACAUGGAUGGAUGUGUGUAACAUAAUCACACGGUUGUGUGGUUUGUGUGGUUUGUGUGUGUUGUAUGUGUGUCAGGUUGUGUGAUGUUGAGCAUGAGAUUCAUUCAACUUCGUUGAGAUUAU